rnacentral:rRNA from 1 species
CCUACGGGAGGCAGCAGUGGGGAAUCUUGCACAAUGGGCGCAAGCCUGAUGCAGCCAUGCCGCGUGUAUGAAGAAGGCCUUCGGGUUGUCAAGUACUUUCAGUCGUGAGGAAGGUGUUAAGGUUAAUAACCUUAGCAAUUGACGUUAGCGACAGAAGAAGCACCGGCUAACUCCGUGCCAGCAGCCGCGGUAAUACGGAGGGUGCGAGCGUUAAUCGGAAUUACUGGGCGUAAAGGGCACGCAGGCGGUUAAUGAAGAUGGAUGUGAAAUCGCCGGUCUUAACCUGGGAAUGGCAUGCAAGACUUGUUAGAGUGAGACAUGUAGAGGGGGGUAGAAUUCCAUGUGGAGCUGUGAAAUGCGUAGGGGGGUGGAGGGAUACCGGUGGCGAAGGCGGCCCCCUGGACAAAGACUGACGAUCAUGGGCGAAAGCGUGGGGAGCAAACAGGAUUAGAUACCCCAGUAGUC